AGUCCUUUACUUCCAUAAAUAUUGAGCACACACUGGGUGCUUGGACUUGUGCAGUAGCAUCCAUGGCCGUUUCACAUCCUUCCUGGUUCUCUCCGAUCUAUUCUUCACCCUGCUGUCAGAGUAAUGAUUCUAAGUCAGAAAUCUGGUUAUGUCCCUCUUCUAUUUAAAACUAUUUGAUGGCUCCACAUUGCUCUUAAGACAAAGGCCAAAUAAAUCUCUUACUGUUGCCCCUCCCACAUCUCCAGACUUGUUUCAGGGCCCUUUUCGCCUCUCUCGGGGCUGUAACUACAGUCAUCUUUUUCAUAUAUUAUACUUCCUCCCUUCUCAGGAUGCUUGCACAUGCUGAUCCCUCUGCCUGAAAUGCUCUCUUCCCUUAGAGAUAACUCAACAGCCUCCAGAUCCCAGCUCCAACAUGAAUACCCCAAGGACACCCUCUUCCACCUCUCCUCAGGCAGGCUCUCUUACUUGUUCUCAACAGGAGGCGUUAGGUUGUUUACUCCCUAUCUUUGCCACUAGAUUGUGGACUCCAUAAGGAAGGAGAAUUUAUCCAUCUUGUUCGCCGCUGUUUCCUCAGCACAUAGCACAGUGCCUGGCACAGAGUAGGUGCCCAAUCAAGUUACAGAGCUAUCAAACCAGAAAGUUUCUUUUUGUCUCCUGACGCAUGUCCCCUCACAGUCAGUACUUGCUCUCCCAGAGAUUUGCCUAUUCUGGAUAUUUCAUAUACAUGGAAUCACACAAUACAUGACCUUUUGUGUCUAGCUUCUUUCACUUCACGUACUGUCUUCAAGGUUCAUCUGUGUUGUAGCAUGUGGGCUGGCCCAUCAGUGCAGCAGUUAAGUGCACAUGUUCUGCUUCGGUGGCCCAGGGUUUGCUGGUUCGGAUCCUGAUUGCGGAUAUGGCACCACUUGGCAAGCCACGCUGUGAAAGGAAAUGAUCCCAAGGAGCCAUGUGAUGCCCCCAAAGCAUGCUGAAUGGAAGGUCCUGUAACUCCACAGAGUCUAGGAGAGUUGGUACGACCACAGACAUGGCUCAAGCACCUAAAGCUGUCAGAGCAAGGAUAUUCAAAGUUGCAUUGGAAACCACCCAAAUAUCCACUAAUAGGAAACUGGUUAAAUCCUUCAAUGAACUAUGAUACAUCAUUAUAAAUAAUUAGGUAGAUCCAUAUAUAUUGAUAUUGACAUGAAAAAAUGCCCACGUUAUAUUGGUAGUAAAGUAAUGCUAUAAGUAAAAAAAAAAAGGGAGGGUGUUAUAGACAGUGUGAAUAAUAUAAUCCCAUUUUUAUUUUUAAAUGGAAUGUUAUAGCUACAUAAAAAAGGAGUUAGAGGAGUAUAUACUACAUUAUUGAUAGUGAGAUUUUUCGAAAGUUGA
rnacentral:lncRNA from 1 species